UACGAAGGGUGCAAACGUUGCUCGGAAUUAUUGGGCGUAAAGCGCACGUAGGCGGCUUUGCAAGUCGGAUGUGAAAUCCCUCGGCUUAACCAAGGAAGUGCAUCCGAAACUGCAGAGCUUGAAGUACUUAAGAGGAUCGCGGAAUUCCCGGGUGUAGAGGUGAAAUUCGUAGAUAUACGGGAGGAACACCAGUGGCGAAGGCGGCGAUCUGGGAAGAGUACUGAACGCUGAGGUGCGAAAGCGUGGGAGCAAACAGG
rnacentral:rRNA from 1 species